rnacentral:tRNA from 2 species
GGGUAAGUAGUUUGAACUGGAUAAAAUAGUGGACUCCAAAUCCACAGUUACGGGUUCGAGUCCCGUCUUUCCCACCA